AUGCUGGCUGACUAGCCUUAUUGCACAGUGCCUGGUUUCGAAGGAAGGCCUUCGGGUGGUAAACCUCUUUUGGCCGGGAUGAUAAUGACAUCACCGGGACAGUAGGCUCCGGCUAGCUCCGUGCCAAUAGCCGCGGUAAUACGAAGGGAGCUAGCGUGGUUCGAAAUUACUGGGCGUAACGUGCACCUAAGCGGCUAUGCAAGUCAGAUGUGAAAGCCCGGGGCUCAACCCCGGAACAGCCUUCGAAACUCAAUCACUAAAAUCUUGUAGAGGUCGGUGGAAUUCCGAGUGUAAAGGUGAAAUUCAUUGAUAUUCGUAAAAACACCAUUGGUAAAUGUGACUGACUGGACCAGUAUUGACGCUAAUGUCCUAAACCGUGGGGAGCAAACAGGAUUAAAUACCCUGGUAGUCCACGCCAUAAACUAUCCUGACUAGCUGUCCCGUAACUUAUGAUUCGGGUGGGCCGGGUACCUCAUUAAUUAAUCCGCCUGGGAAGUCCGGACGUAAGACUAAACUCAAA
rnacentral:rRNA from 1 species